GCGGCCCUACAAUGUUCGUGGUUAAGCUGAUUUGUGUUGUGAACCAACACACAAUGCUAGGGAGCCUGGGCUCUGGGUGUGGACUGAAUGCCAUUUCGGAUGGACUCAGGAAGCAUCCAGGAGGGCACCCACCUGGUAAACAGGUUCAGCAAUCACUCAGCAAUUAGCGGCAUUUGUGGGGCUGAA
rnacentral:other from 1 species